UACGGGGGGGGCUAGCGUUGUUCGGAAUUACUGGGCGUAAAGGGCGCGUAGGCGGUCUGCUAAGUUGGAUGUGAAAACUCUGGGCUUAACCCAGAGCCUGCAUUCAAUACUGACAGGCUAGAGUUCUGGAGGGGAUAGCGGAAUUCCUGGUGUAGCGGUGAAAUGCGUAGAUAUCAGGAGGAACACCGGUGGCGAAGGCGGCUAUCUGGACAGAGUCUGACGCUGAGGCGCGAAAGCUAGGGGGAGCAAACAGG
rnacentral:rRNA from 1 species